rnacentral:lncRNA from 1 species
AGAAGAAGAUUUCAUUAAAAUGAGAAACGGAAAAACAAAAUAGGGCUACAAGAGACAGUUGAUGAGCAAUCAACCCUCCAAACCAACAAAAGAAAGAACUGACAAAACUAGACAAUUACAAACAACCUUUGGGGAGCCAAUCAGAGUUAACCCGAACUUGUCCCAUAAGAUCCAACGACACCCAAAUAGAAUCCGAUCAACAAAAGGAUUGAAAAAUCUACCUUUCACUAAACACUGAAUUCAUUCUAUAUAUGAUGUCAUCCAUUGAUAAAUCUCUACCGUCCUUGCUUGAUGUUACCCAGAAGGCUAUGCGAGCAAUAAUGAGAUCAACAAUCUCAAGCCAAUUCACUGGUUUGUUAUCAAAAAUUUUUACAAUGAUAUCUUGAGGGUUUCUUUUAAUACAAGUACUCUCUACAUGUUUUAAAAAUUACACUUAGCUUCCCUGUCAGUAUUCGUCUUAUAACUGAGGUAAUAGAAAAAUUGAAAAUAAUAUUUUUUUUUAUUAUGAGUGUUUGUGGGC